rnacentral:rRNA from 1 species
AGUGAACGCUGGCGGUAGGCCUAACACAUGCAAGUCGAACGGCAGCACAGUAAGAGCUUGCUCUUACGGGUGGCGAGUGGCGGACGGGUGAGGAAUACAUCGGAAUCUACUUUUUCGUGGGAGAUAACGUAGGGAAACUUACGCUAAUACCGCAUACGACCUACGGGUGAAAGCAGGGGAUCUUCGGACCUUGCGCGAUUGAAUGAGCCGAUGUCGGAUUAGCUAGUUGGCGGGGUAAAGGCCCACCAAGGCGACGAUCCGUAGCUGGUCUGAGAGGAUGAUCAGCCACACUGGAACUGAGACGCGGUCCAGACUCCUACGGGAGGCAGCAGUGGGGAAUAUUGGACAAUGGGCGCAAGCCUGAUCCAGCCAUACCGCGUGGGUGAAGAAGGCCUUCGGGUUGUAAAGCCCUUUUGUUGGGAAAGAAAAGCAGCAGGUUAAUACCCCGCUGUUCUGACGGUACCCAAAGAAUAAGCACCGGCUAACUUCGUG